AGUGAACGCUGGCGGUAGGCCUAACACAUGCAAGUCGAACGGCAGCACAGUAAGAGCUUGCUCUUACGGGUGGCGAGUGGCGGACGGGUGAUGAAUACAUCGGAAUCUACUUUUUCGUGGGGGAUAACGUAGGGAAACUUACGCCAAUACCGCAUACGACCUACGGGUGAAAGCAUGGGAUCUUCGGACCUUGCGUGAUUGAAUGAGCCGAUGUCGGAUUAGCUAGUUGGCGGGGUAAAGGCCCACCAAGGCGACGAUCCGUAGCUGGUCUGAGAGGAUGAUCAGCCACACUGGAACUGAGACACGGUCCAGACUCCUACGGGAGGCAGCAGUGGGGAAUAUUGGACAAUGGGCGCAAGCCUGAUCCAGCCAUACCGCGUGGGUGAAGAAGGCCUUCGGGUUGUAAAGCACUUUUGUUGGGAAAGAAAAGCAGCGGGUUAAUACCCCGCUGUUCUGACGGUACCAAAAGAAUAAGCACCGGCUAACUUCGUG
rnacentral:rRNA from 1 species